AGUUCGAUUCUGGCUCAGAUUAAUCACGAAAAGAUGUUUCAUACGGGCCGAACGACACGACUUCGGUCUGGUGGCGAGUGGCGAACGGGUGAGUAAUGUAUCGGAACGUGCCUAGUAGCGGGGGAUAAACUACGCGAAAGCGUAGCUAAUACCGCAUACGCCUUUCGGGGGAAAGCGGGGGACCUUCGGGCCUCGCACUAUUAGAGCGGCCGAUAUCGGAUUAGCUAGUUGGUGGGGUGCAACGGCUCACCAAGGCGACGAUCCGUAGCUGGCUGGAGAGGACGACCAGCCACACUGGGACUGAGACACGGCCCAGACCGCAUGGAGGCAGCAGUGGGGAAUUUUGGACAAUGGGGAAACCCUGAUCCAGCCAUCCCGCGUGUGCGAUGAAGGCCUUCGGGCUAGAAGCACUUUUGGCAGGAAAAGAAACGGCACGGGAUAAUACCCCGUGCAACUGACGGUACCUGCAGAAUAAGCACCGGCUAACUACGUGCCAGCAGCCGCGGUAAUACGUAGGGUGCAAGCGUUAAUCGAAAUUACUGGGCGUAAAGCGUGCGCAGGCGGUUCGGAAAGAAAGAUGUGAAAUCCCAGAGCUAAUCUUGUCCCGCAUUUUUAACUACCGAGCUAGAGUGUCAGAGGGAGGUGGAAUUCGCGUGUAGCAGUGAAAUGCGUAGAUAUGCGGAGGAACACCGAUGGCGAAGGCAGCCUCCUCUGGGAUAACACUGACGUUCAUGCACGAAAGCGUGGGGGAGUAAACAGGAUUAGAUACCCUGGUAGUCCAGCCUAAACGAUGUCAACUAGCUGUUGGGGCCUUACCGGUAGCAGCCAAAGAAGUUGACCGCCUGGGGAGUACGGUCGCAAGAUUAAAAACUCAAGAAUGAUUUAGAACUUGCACAAGCGGUGGAUGAUGUGGAUUAAUCUUGAUGCACGCGAAAACCUUUAUCACCUGACAUGUCUGGAAUCCCGAAGAGAUUUGGGAGUGCUCGGGCAAGAGAACCGGAACACAGGAAACGCGCAUAUUGUCGUCAGCCUGUGUCGUGAGAUGUUGGGUUAAGUCCCGCAACGAGCGCAACCCUUGUCAUUAUUGCCAAGGAAAGGGCACCUAAUGAGACUGCCGGUGACAAACCGGAGGAAGGUGGGGAUGACGUCAAGUCCUCAUGGCCCUGGCAGAGGCUUCACGACACAUACAAUGGUCGGGACAGAGGGUCGCCAACCCGCGAGGGGGAGCCAACCGGAAACCUGAUCAGAACUUGGAUCGCAGCCUGCACCCCGGACUGCGUGAAGUCGGAAUCGCUAGUAAUCGCGGACUCAGCAUGGUCGCGGUGAAUACGUUCCCGGGUCUUGUACACACCGCCUGUCACACCAUGGGAGUGGGUUUUACCAGAAGCAGUUAGUUAGUCUAACCGUAAGGAGGGCGAUUACCACGGUAGGAUUCAUGACUGGGGUGAAGUCGUAAAUAAGGUAG
rnacentral:rRNA from 1 species